GAACAAGCGAAUAAGUGCACAUGGUGGAUGCCUUGGCGAUUACAGGCGAUGAAGGACGUAGUAGCUUGCGAUAAGCUGCGGGGAGCUGGCAAACGAGCUUUGAUCCGCAGAUUUCCGAAUGGGGAAACCCGGCCGUAAGGUCAUCGUUAUCUGAAUACAUAGGGUAACGAAGCGAACGUGGCGAACUGAAACAUCUAAGUAGCUGCAGGAACAGAAAUCAACCGAGAUUCCCAAAGUAGUGGCGAACGAAAUGGGAUCAGCCUGCAAGAUUUAGCAUCAACGAUAGCAAAACGGAAUGGAAAGUCCGGCCAUAGAGGGUGAUAGCCCCUUAUGCGAAAUCGAUGGUGUGGAACUAGGCUUGCGACAAGUAGGGCGGGACACGUGAAAUCCUGUCUGAACAUGGGGGGACCAUCCUCCAAGGCUAAAUACUCGUAAUCGACCGAUAGUGAACCAGUACCGUGAGGGAAAGGCGAAAAGAACCCCGGAAGGGGAGUGAAAUAGAUCCUGAAACCGUGUGCAUACAAACAGUAGGAGCCCUGUAAGGGGUGACUGCGUACCUUUUGUAUAAUGGGUCAGCGACUUACAUUCAGUGGCAAGCUUAACCGAAUAGGGAAGGCGCAGAGAAAUCGAGUCCGAAUAGGGCGUUCAGUCGCUGGGUGUAGACCCGAAACCAAGUGAUCUAUCCAUGGCCAGGUUGAAGGUGCGGUAACACGCACUGGAGGACCGAACCCACUAAUGUUGAAAAAUUAGGGGAUGAGCUGUGGAUAGGGGUGAAAGGCUAAACAAACUUGGAAAUAGCUGGUUCUCUCCGAAAACUAUUUAGGUAGUGCCUCAAGUAUCACCAUCGGGGGUAGAGCACUGUUAUGGCUAGGGGGUCAUCGCGACUUACCAACCCAUUGCAAACUCCGAAUACCGAUGAGUGCGAGCUUGGGAGACAGACGCCGGGUGCUAACGUCCGACGUCAAGAGGGAAACAACCCAGACCGCCAGCUAAGGUCCCAAAGAUUGGCUAAGUGGAAAACGAAGUGGGAAGGCUAAAACAGUCAGGAGGUUGGCUUAGAAGCAGCCAUCCUUUAAAGAAAGCGUAAUAGCUCACUGAUCGAGUCGUCCUGCGCGGAAGAUGUAACGGGGCUAAGCCAGUCACCGAAGCUGCGGAUAUCCGUAAGGAUAUGGUAGGAGAGCGUUCUGUAAGCCUGUGAAGGUGUCUUGUAAAGGAUGCUGGAGGUAUCAGAAGUGCGAAUGCUGACAUGAGUAGCGAUAAUGCGGGUGAAAAGCCCGCACGCCGUAAGCCCAAGGUUUCCUGUUCAACGUUCAUCGGAGCAGGGUGAGUCGGCCCCUAAGGCGAGGCAGAGAUGCGUAGCUGAUGGGAAGCAGGUUAAUAUUCCUGCACCGUCGUUAGAUGCGAUGGGGGGACGGAUCGCGGAAGGUUGUCCGACUGUUGGAAUAGUCGGUUUUUGCAUCGAAGAAGGCUGUUAGGCAAAUCCGGCAGCGUAAUUCAAGGGUGUGAGACGAGCGAACUUGUUCGCGAAGCAAUCGGAAGUGGUUCCAAGAAAAGCCUCUAAGCUUCAGUCUAACGAGACCGUACCGCAAACCGACACAGGUGGGCGAGAUGAGUAUUCUAAGGCGCUUGAGAGAACUCGGGAGAAGGAACUCGGCAAAUUGGUACCGUAACUUCGGGAUAAGGUACGCCCUGGUAGCUUGACUGGCCUGCGCCAGAAGGGUGAAGGGGUUGCAAUAAAAUGGUGGCUGCGACUGUUUAAUAAAAACACAGCACUCUGCAAACACGAAAGUGGACGUAUAGGG
rnacentral:rRNA from 1 species